GCCGCCCGCGGAGCUAAAUGGGGCGAAGGCCGAGCGGAGGGGUCCCCGCGCCGCCGCCACGGAGCAGUCCCGCACCGCCCCCCGCCUGUAGGUCGUGCUGGGCCACCUCGGCCGCCCGUCGGCCCAGGCCAUCGUAGGUCAUCCCACUUCAGGGACUAUUUCCUCUGCCAGUUUCCAUCCUCAACAAUUCCAGUAUAGUCUGGAUAAUAAUGUUCUCACCCUGGAACAGAGAAAAUUUUAUGAAGAAAAUGGGUAUCUUGUAAUUAAAAAUCUGGUAUCUGAUGCUGAUAUCCAACGCUUUCGGAAUGAGUUUGAAAAAAUCUGCAGAAAGGAGGUGAAACCAUUAGGAUUAACAGUAAUGAGGGACGUGGCCAUUUUGAAAUCAGAAUGUGCUCACGGUGAGAAGAUGAUCACGAAGGUCCAGGAUUUCCAGGAAGAUAAGGAGCUCUUCAGAUACUGUACUCUGCCCGAGAUUCUGAAGUAUGUGGAGUGCUUCACUGGACCUAAUAUUAUGGCCAUGCACACGAUGUUGAUAAACAAACCUCCAGAUGCUGGCAAGAAGACGUCCCGCCAUCCCCUGCACCAGGACCUGCACUAUUUCCCCUUCAGGCCCAGCAAUCUCAUUGUUUGCGCCUGGACGGCGAUGGAGCCCAUCGACCGGAACAACGGCUGUCUGGUUGUGCUCCCAGGCACCCACAGGGGCUCCCUGAAGCCCCACGAUUACCCCAAGUGGGAGGGGGGAGUUAACAAAAUGUUCCACGGGAUCCAGGACUAUGAGGACAAUACCGCCCGGGUGCACCUGGUGAUGGAGAAGGGAGACACUGUUUUCUUCCAUCCUUUGCUCAUCCAUGGAUCUGGUCGGAACAAAACCCAGGGGUUCCAGAAGGCAAUUUCCUGCCACUUCGCCAGUGCUGAUUGCCACUACAUCAGUGUGAAGGGCACCAGUCAAGAAAACAUUGAGAAGGAAGUGGGAGGAUUAGCAAAUAAACUCUAUGGCAUUGCAAAUACCGUGGACUUGAAGGAUAUUUGGAUGUUUCGAGCUCGACUUGUGAAAGGAGAAAGAACCAAUCUUUGAAAUAGCCCUCUGCUAUAACUCUUUUAAUGGAAAACCAACACCAAACAAAGUGUCUAAGGAAAAUGUUUCUUAAUGAGUUAAUGUAACCUUUUCUAUCACUUGUUAAAAUCAGAAAACAUGUAUCAGGUACUAAGUGCAUGGAAUUAGUUUUGCUCUACAAUGGUGUUGCUUUAAUGGAAAUAACAACAGUAAAAGGGAAAAAAAUAAAAACAAAAGCACAGUAAAAGUGAAAUACUACUGUUUUAAGGAAAAUUAAUUUAGGGUUGCAUCCAUUAAAGAGGAUUGGUGUAUAAAAAAAAA